GCCCGGGUAGCUCAGUCGGUAGAGCAGGGGAUUGAAAAUCCCCGUGUCCUUGGUUCGAUUCCGAGUCCGGGCACCA
rnacentral:tRNA from 1 species